GUGCCAGGAUGCAUGCUUCAGAAAGCGCAGGGGCACGAGGCUUGUUCCAGCGCCCAACCAUUGGCUGCGACGACCGGCUGCUCGACGCGUGUAACUCGAGCCCGUUGCUGCCCGUCCGUCAGAAAUAAAAAAUCAUUUGUCCGCUGCGGGUGCGCGGCUUGAUUAAAUAUUAAUAGCGAGAGGGAGACUGUUAUCCGGUGUCGCGUGAAAAGUGAUCCUCGGCCGCUCCGGAAGGGCAUCGUGGCCUCGCGGGUGGACAAACGGAGACGCAAGAGAGAACAAAGUAUGAAGCACUCAAUUACUCCACCAACUAAUACUUGGCAUGAGUAAUCUCCAGUACAGGAUAAUCAUGGGAAAGAACUAAAAAUCAGAGGCCGGUAAAGGACCACCUAGCAACCACUUUGCAACUCCCUGGCAACCACUGGAUGUUACUACAGGAAGGAAAACGAGGAAGGAGAAGUGGUCCCCAGGGUGUGCACGUAAGUGUGUGUGUGAACCUUAAAUGUGUGAAUCAAAGGGGGCAAUGGAUCAAGUAGAUGUUUCAGUAAGCACCAAAGUCUAUCAAUCAAUAACAGUGUUGGGGAAAGUUACUUUUAAAAGUAAUGCAUUACAAUAUUAAGUUACUCCCAAAAAAGUAACUAAUUGCGUUACUUAGUUACUUUUCAUGGAAAGUAAUGCUAACGUUACUUUUUAGUUACAUUUGCAUUACUUUUUCUUGGCUGAGCUUUAAUCUCUCUCAAGUAACUUGCAUUACUCUUUUAAAAAAGUAACUCAAUAUUGAAGGUGUAGCGGAGGAUUUUCUCGAAUUUUAGAAAAGAACCGCCUUCUCCACUUUUUAAAAAAAUGCAAUUGCGCAACACUCCUGAUUGACAACUAGGAGGACCAAUAGUCUUGAUGAUCCACCCGGAAAAAGAAAAUCCUCUAUAACCUUUAAUGUGUACAUUUAAAAAGUAAUGCAUUACUUUACUCGUUACUUCAGAAAAUUUAUAUUAUUACAUAAUGCACGUUACUUGUAAUGCGUUACCCCCAACACUGAUCAAUAACAGGUCACUAUGUUCCCCAAUACACAGACGUACGUAUCAUACACUAGACAUUUGCUGAGUCCCAAUUCGCCUACUUAUACUACGACCUAAAAGUAUGUACUGUUUUUGUGAGGAAAACGUACCUACUCUUUA